rnacentral:tRNA from 1 species
GCGGGUGUAGCUCAGCUGGUAGAGCAGCGGCCUUCCAAGCCGCAGGUCGCGGGUUCGAGUCCCGUCGCCCGCUCCA